CAGUCGCCACGGUAAUACGAGGGAUCCUAGCGUUGUUCGGAAUCAUUGGGCGUAAAGGGUGUGUAGGCGGCCAUGUAAGUCAGUUGUGAAAUCCCCGGGCUUAACCUGGGAACUGCAUUCGUGACUGGCGAGCUAGAGUAUGGCAGAGGGGGGUAGAAUUCCACGUGUAGCAGUGAAAUGCGUAGAGAUGUGGAGGUAUACCGAUGGCGAAGGCAGCCCCCUGGGCCAAUACUGACGCUCAUGCACUAAAGCGUGGGGAGCAAACAGGAUUAGAUACCCCCGUAGUCCCUGUCUCUUAUAC
rnacentral:rRNA from 1 species